GCCAUUUCAAAUGGUAGCAUAAAUCUGCCCCCGAGAGACUGAGCAGCUCCAAGCACCAAAAAUAACCACAGAGGAAAAGAUAACAGGGAGCAGAGCCAAGCUUGAUUCCAUCCUGAAGUGGCUUCCCCAUGAAAGACAGCAGUAAUUAGAAAGAGAGAAAUCUUACAGGCAAAGGCUAUUCGACAUUUGGGAUUCCUAAGCUAAUCUUUUUAUUUUUGGAAGGGUGUCUUUCUGAGAAAGGCAGCCAGAGGCACAGCACCAACCUUUCUGACAGUGUGGUCUUCACACUGUUAGUUCUGACAAAGGGAGUCAAGGAGUCGUCCUUGGAGGAGGCGAUGAGGCCAGUGGAAGAAUUGUGGCUGGGGACCCCUCCACUGCUGAGGGAGAUGUCGAUGGACUCACAGCUGGUGUGGAGGCUGCUGACAGACUGAAAGCCCAGGCCAUCCUUGCUAACUGCGGAGGAGCUGCUGGCGUUGGUGCCCCAGGGCCAAGACAGCCCCGGCCUCUUACCAGUUCCUGGGGUCUUCAGUGCGCCUGCCGGGGCUGAAGGCUUCGUCCUUGGCAUGGUGAUGCCCACCUGAGCUGUCAUGCCUCGCCGCCAUGAGCCUGUCUGGGAGAUGACAGGAUUCUUCUUGCCCGACGUGCUUUUGUCGGACUCGUCAGACACAUCAGAAGGAUUCCGCCUCCACUUGGAACCUGGCUCCAUUUUUAUGCCGCUGUCUGAGCCUCCGUCUGAUUUCUUGACAUCAUCACCAGACCACAGGGAAUUCCUCUCCACCUGUGAGUGCUUCUCAGCAUCAGUCUGUGGACAGAGACUCUCUGAAUUAGUCCUUCCCCAGUCCCAGGCUGGGAAGCCCCUCACUCCAAAGGCAAAAAUGCCAAAACACUGGAGUAGUUAAGGGAAAAAUAAGCAUUACUUUAAAGAUGUUUGGACUUUUGUACUCUGGUUAUCUUGUUAGAAAGACUGAUUUUUUUUUUUUGGAAAAAAAAAUAAAAAAGUAAAUAAUAUCAAUGUA
rnacentral:lncRNA from 1 species